rnacentral:lncRNA from 1 species
CUAUCCAAAAGUUAGCGAAUUGUUAGACCCUAAGCGGCCGAAACCGCAAGACCCUAACAUAUUGGAGAUUCUCAAAUUGGCUCAAUCUUUUACCAAACUCAGUCUAAUUUUAGUCAAAUUUGAUUUCCUUCUAUAAAUUGCGGUUGCGAAAAAAGCUAUGUAUGGAGAGUAUGGGAGAUUUAGAAGGAAAAGAUUUUGGCGGUAAGAAUUUUUGGCUUCCCUCCUCCUAAUUCUAAAAUUACAGUUUCCUUUAUUAGUUAGAACUCUUCAGACAACCUAAUUUUUAUUACGCUGUGGUAAUUUAAUUAGAGAUUUAAGCAAACGGGGAAAGGGAGGCAAGCUACUGGAAGAAGAUUGAUAUAGGGUUCAGACUUUUGCAGGUUCUUAUCUAUCUUCUGUCUAAUGAUUUGUAGUGUGAUAGUUAAAAGAAAGUAUUUUUGUGUUCUGAAGUACUUACUAGAUUUUCUCCUUUCCUAGUUAUUUAGGCUCUUUUAAGUUUAUUUUCAGAGUAUAUUUGAAUUUUCUGUAAAAACUCUUUACACUGUCGUAAAUCUUUAUAUGAAGUUCUAAGUGUAUAUACUGAUGGUGAAAAACAUAUUCACUUUAGAUUAAGUUCAAGGAGAGUUCUUCUCUGAUGCUAUAUGUAUAAGUUAAAUUCUUAAUGGAUAAGAGUUGGAUAAACAUAUUGAAUAUGAACGAUCCUUUAUAUGAGCCAAAGAGUUUAUUCGUUUUGCGUCAUUGGAUAGGCCUAGUGCAUAUGAAAUCUUGUGUCCAUGUCGAACUCUAUGGAAAGGAGCAGCUCCAAGCUCUGUUUAUGGCCCAAUAUAUAAACGAUCCAAGGCUAAAGUAAAGAGAUUUUGAUGCAAGGGUUGAGAUAGAAGUUCAAAAAGCUAUCACAGUUAUCCAAGCUGAUAUGGAGAAAAAGUUGGCGAAAGCAAAAGAAGAUAUGAAAGCAACAAUAAAUGAUUAAGUAAAGGCAGGGGUCCAAGCACAUCUAGAGAGUAUAAGUAUUACAAUUGGCUCAAAUAGUAAAUCAAUCACUAAUGAGCAGGUAAAUAACUUUAUGAUCAUUCACAAACUUUUUUUCUCUUUAAGUUAGUAAUUGCUAUUUAUUUUUCUUUUAAUUAUAAUAAUCUCCCUCUUUGUGAUAGGUUUUCGAUAACUCACAUGAAGAUCACCAACAAUCAUUAUCACCGAUUUCAGUUGUUCACAAAAAUAAAGUGAGUUUUAGAUCAAAGUUACGAGUAAAUUACCCAUCUGUUAUAAUCUCGUAUUUGAGCAAAAUAUGUGAGAGUUUAGCUGUUGAUAUAUUAGAUAUAUAGCAAAUUACGUAGUGUGGCUGCAACCUGUUUGAGCUGUAGUGCAAACUGAUUUCGAACAGUAGCGCUAUACCUCACUUAGAAUGCAUUUAGUGGAAAACUACAUUCCUACUCAUCUCCACCAUUCCUUUAUUUCUCUUCUAUUUAGACAAAUUAAAUACAAUCUUAUAUCACCAUCAGAUUCAUUAUAUUUAUUCUUAUUUACUUUACUGUUUGGAGAAUUGAGAUUAUCUUAUAAAUUUGUGAAAUUCAAUUCUUUUUGGGUUA